rnacentral:rRNA from 1 species
GAUGAACGCAGGCGGCAUGCCUUACACAUGCAAGUCGAACGGCAGCAUGGAGAGCUUGCUCUCUGAUGGCGAGUGGCGAACGGGUGAGUAAUGCAUCGGAACGUACCGUGUAAUGGGGGAUAACGUAGCGAAAGUUACGCUAAUACCGCAUACGACCUGAGGGUGAAAGCAGGGGAUCGCAAGACCUUGCGUUAUACGAGCGGCCGAUGUCAGAUUAGCUAGUUGGUGAGGUAAAGGCUAACCAAGGCGACGAUCUGUAGCGGGUCUGAGAGGAUGAUCCGCCACCCUGGGACUGAGACACGGCCCAGACUCCUACGGGAGGCAGCAGUGGGGAAUUUUGGACAAUGGGGGCAACCCUGAUCCAGCCAUGCCGCGUGAGUGAAGAAGGCCUUCGGGUUGUAAAGCUCUUUCGGCCGGGAAGAAAUCGCACAGGCUAAUACUCUGUGUGGAUGACGGUACCGGCAUAAGAAGCACCGGCUAACUACGUGCCAGCCGCCGCAGUAA